rnacentral:rRNA from 1 species
UGCAAGUCGACGAUGAAGCCGCUUCGGUGGUGGAUUAGUGGCGAACGGGUGAGUAACACGUGGGCAAUCUGCCCUGCACUCUGGGACAAGCCCUGGAAACGGGGUCUAAUACCGGAUACGACACAGGAAGGCAUCUUCUCUGUGUGGAAAGCUCCGGCGGUGCAGGAUGAGCCCGCGGCCUAUCAGCUUGUUGGUGGGGUGAUGGCCUACCAAGGCGACGACGGGUAGCCGGCCUGAGAGGGCGACCGGCCACACUGGGACUGAGACACGGCCCAGACUCCUACGGGAGGCAGCAGUGGGGAAUAUUGCACAAUGGGCGAAAGCCUGAUGCAGCGACGCCGCGUGAGGGAUGACGGCCUUCGGGUUGUAAACCUCUUUCAGCAGGGAAGAAGCGCAAGUGACGGUACCUGCAGAAGAAGCACCGGCUAACUACGUGCCAGCAGCCGCGGUAAUACGUAGGGUGCGAGCGUUGUCCGGAAUUAUUGGGCGUAAAGAGCUCGUAGGCGGCUUGUCACGUCGGAUGUGAAAGCCCGGGGCUUAACCCCGGGUCUGCAUUCGAUACGGGCAGGCUAGAGUUCGGUAGGGGAGAUCGGAAUUCCUGGUGUAGCGGUGAAAUGCGCAGAUAUCAGGAGGAACACCGGUGGCGAAGGCGGAUCUCUGGGCCGAUACUGACGCUGAGGAGCGAAAGCGUGGGGAGCGAACAGGAUUAGAUACCCUGGUAGUCCACGCCGUAAACGUUGGGAACUAGGUGUGGGCGACAUUCCACGUCGUCCGUGCCG